CUGGAGUCAGUUAGCUGCUUUGUAAAGAAGAAAGACUCAGUGCUCUGAGGAGCUGCCCCAUGAAAAACACCAAGAAGGUAGUGUAUGAAAUUUCCCAUAUUGAUGCUGUCCCUUUUGACUUUGUAUCUUCUGCACAGAUUUGAUACUUGCAGACAAACCCAAGAUCAAUGACUUGGCAUCUAAUGGAGAUCGUGGGCGAAGUUGUGAGUUUCAUUUGGCAUUUGCUCUAAACUCCUCAUUGCAGCUCUACUUGGAUACCCUCUCUCAAGGGGGACAGAGUGAGAGUGGAGGAAGAAGAGAGUUGUGAAGCUGGAGGUUACAGUAGAAGAGGAGCACAAGGCAUGGAAGAAUGUCUUCAUCCCUCAGAUUAUUUAUACAAGCAGAGGAUGAACUUCAGAUACUGACAGGAGCUGUGGCUAUAACCUGCUUAUGCCUCAUUCAGCACCUAAGUUACCACUUAAUGUCUAAAUUGAGACAAUAGGUACUGACCUCUUGUCUCAAUCAAAAUCUUUCAAAUGUUAAGAAACUGCCCUCCUGAGAAGCUAGGAGGUAACUAAAAUAGGUUCACUGGGUGGUUUUGUGUGCUCUAUGAUUAUGAGUUCCUCUGAGGAGCACUCAAGAGAGCUGUUGACUGUGAUCCAAGUAUCUGGAAUAAUGAGUUCCUUUUAGAGCUUCUUAUCACACUGAGUUUCAGUUUAUUCACUGAACCUACUGAUCCUUUAAAAUCAUGUUCCACUUUCAGUUUUAAACAAAGGUAGCUAGACAGCAGAGAUCAACAGUGUAAAAGUAGAAUUUGAGUGCUGUGAACUUAUGCCUUUGUUCUUCUGAGCUGAUGUACUGACGUGGAGCUGAAUUCUGUGUUUAAAAACAAACUAAAUGAAAAUUGCAUUCAAAAAUGUCAGCCCUUUAGAUCAGGCUGAGCUGAGCACUGUGAAACCUCAUCACUAUGAAGCACUAAGCACUUUCUGUAAUUAUGAUAUGAACAUUUACCAUACUAAUUUUUUAAGAUUUUGUUCCUAAUACAAGGGACUCAAAAUGAGUUUCCAUGAGAAACAUUCAUUUUGUUGUAAGGUUGCAUGAAGAUAUUUGCCUGCCAUAACAAUCAAGUUCUCAGAAAACAAUCAGUAUAUUUUACCACUUUCUGCUAAGUUUUUCUAUCACCUGUGGCAGCAACACAGUUUUGAGCCUUCAGAUUGACAACAGGGACUUUGGCCAUUUGAACAUGGAGAGGCUGCAUUUAAAUUGUGGAUGUUGGAAUACUUCCAAUUGCCUGGAUCCAGGCAUUCACCCAGCUAAGAUGCAGUCUCCUGUGGGAUGUGGCUUUGCCCUGAUUUGUCUGUUACAUCUUGGCUUUCAUUGAAGGCAAUCUGUAUGCACUCAGCAGACAGGAGACAGGACAUGCUCUAGUCACAGCCCAGCUCCAGAUUUUACCUGAUGGUGUGCUGUUAUCCAGGUAUUCCUCUGCUGAUUCCUUUCUGCCAUGCCCUUCUCUUUCCCUGGCCAUACUGCUCUUCUUAUCCAUCCAGCUCCAGUCUUAUUUCCUCUAGCUCCUCUCCUCUACUCCUUCCAGCUCUUGUGUCCUCUGGUAGUCAGUUCUUUUUGUGCCCUAUCACUUCUCAGGCCCUUUCUGCCUGCCCCCUCUGUCUCACAUACACAUUUUCUUCUUUUAUUCUUUCUUCCUUUCACCAACACCUUCAGAAGGUAUCUCAGCUUCUUUUGUUUCCUUGUCUACACUGUUGUCUCAGCCAGUCCCAGUUCUUCCUGAUGUCUUCUCUUCAGCCCCUCUCCACUGUUAUUCCUCACCUCUGCUCCCUCUUUUGCAGCCCCAGCUUUUCCUGCUCUCCAUUUAACCUCUGCAGAUGCCCAGUUCUCUCACUGGGACUGGUAUGAUACCCCAAUUCUCACCUUCUUGUCCAGCUUGUCAAUAUACCUUUUGCACCUCCGUUCCAUUUCUCCAUGAUACGCCUUCUGCCUUCAUGGACAGUGAUCCUGACAAGUCAUAUUGAGGCUUUAUUUCCCUAGCAAAUGAAUAAACAAUUUUCUUUCUAAUAUUGAAGAUUUCUUGGUAAUGUUUCUGCCUUUUUCCUUUGUGUUUACUGGCAUAAUUCUAAAAUGUUUUCCCCCAGUCAAUACCACACGAUGAAAAA